rnacentral:rRNA from 1 species
GAUGAACGCUGGCGGCGUGCCUAAUACAUGCAAGUCGAGCGAACGGACGAGAAGCUUGCUUCUCUUGUGUUAGCGGCGGACGGGUGAGUAACACGUGGAUAACCUACCUAUAAGACUGGGAUAACUUCGGGAAACCGGAGCUAAUACCGGAUAAUAUCUUUAACCGCAUGUUUCAAGAGUGAAAGACGGUAUUGCUUUCACUUAUGGAUGUAUCCCCGCUGCAUUAGCUAGUUGGUAAGGUAACGGCUUACCAAGGCAACGUUGCUUAGCCGACCUGAGAGGGUGUCCGGCAAAACGGGACUUGAGACACGGCCAAGAUUCCUCGGGGAGGAACAAGAGGGGAACUUUCCGAAUUGGGCGAAGGCCUGCCGGAGAACGGCGGCGUGAGUGAUGAAGGUCUCCGGAUCGAAAACUCUUGUUAUUAGGGAAGAACAUAUGUGUAAGUAACUGUGCAUAACUUGACGGUAACUACUCAGAAAGCCACGGCUAACUACGUG